UCUAGCAGUUUUAAGAGAUUUGUACGACUGGUUCUGCGGUUAGAAAUUGGUGUGUUUGCGGGAUACUUAUGACUGGUUAACUACCAAAUGUAUCAGCGGUUAAAUAAUAAAUUAACAAUAUUUACAUUUUAUACAAUUAUAAAAAUAUCAAAAAUAAUAAUAUUAUAAUAAAUACAAAAGUUAUAUUUAGAAAGUUAUAGUUUAAUUU
rnacentral:lncRNA from 1 species